UACGGAGGGUGCAAGCGUUAUCCGGAUUCACUGGGUUUAAAGGGUGCGUAGGCGGGUCUGUAAGUCAGUGGUGAAAUCUCCGUGCUUAACAUGGAAACUGCCAUUGAUACUAUAGGUCUUGAAUUUUCUGGAGGUAAGCGGAAUAUGUCAUGUAGCGGUGAAAUGCUUAGAUAUGACAUAGAACACCAAUUGCGAAGGCAGCUUGCUACAGGGAUAUUGACACUGAGGCACGAAAGCGUGGGGAUCAAACAGG
rnacentral:rRNA from 1 species